rnacentral:rRNA from 1 species
AACGAACGCUGGCGGCAGGCUUAACACAUGCAAGUCGAACGCAUCGCAAGAUGAGUGGCAGACGGGUGAGUAACGCGUGGGAACAUACCCUUUUCUACGGAAUAGCUCUGGGAAACUGGAAUUAAUACCGUAUACGCCCUACGGGGGAAAGAUUUAUCGGGGAAGGAUUGGCCCGCGUUGGACUAGCUAGUUGGUGGGGUAAAGGCCUACCAAGGCGACGAUCCAUAGCUGGUCUGAGAGGAUGAUCAGCCACAUUGGGACUGAGACACGGCCCAAACUCCUACGGGAGGCAGCAGUGGGGAAUAUUGGACAAUGGGCGCAAGCUUGAUCCAGCCAUGCCGCGUGAGUGAUGAAGGCCUUAGGGUUGUAAAGCUCUUUCACCGAUGAAGAUAAUGACGGUAGUCGGAGAAGAAGCCCCGGCUAACUUCGUGCCAGCCGCCGCGGUAAAAC